UCCGGAAUCACGUGACGUUUCUCGGAAGCUGACCGUUACACUCCAGGAAUCAAGUCUUUCCGGAAGUCCCCGGUUCCGACCGGGGCCUUUCAGUCAGCAGCCGCUGCAACCCCAGGGAG
rnacentral:sRNA from 1 species